GAAAAAAGUAGGCAUGCUAAAACCUCGACGUCCUGUCGUAACGCAUGCAUAACCCACUUCCUGUGGG
rnacentral:sRNA from 1 species